AGCCAUAUCAUGUUGAAACAGCGGUUCUCGUACGAUCACCAAAGUUAAGCAACAUCGAUCCAGGUCAGUACCUAGAUGGGUGACCACUUGGGAAUACCGCGUACUGUAA